rnacentral:sRNA from 1 species
AGUAUAUUAAAACUAACUGCUUAGCCAUCUGUCACCUCACUGAUCACCAGGAUUGAUUAGAUUUAUCUGGAUGCUUAAUCUAAUGUUCCCUUUCUUUCGAGCCACUCCAGCUCCAUGUGUGUGCCUCAAACUGCACACUCAAGAAGGUAGAUGACAUCAGAGUCUUUGAAAAGGGUAGUUGUGCUCCCAUGUCAAGAGUUUAUGCAACAAGGAUAACAACUCUGGACAUUCCUGGCUACUGUUUGGCAAGUCCAGAGACAAUCCUUUCAUUUGAUUCUCAAAUUACUGUCCUAAA